rnacentral:rRNA from 1 species
GAUGAACGCUGGCGGCGUGCCUAAUACACGCAAGUCGAGCGAACGGACGAGAAGCUUGCUUCUCUGAUGUUAGCGGCGGACGGGUGAGUAACACGUGGAUAACCUACCUAUAAGACUGGGAUAACUUCGGGAAACCGUAGCUAAUACCGGAUAAUAUUUUGAACCGCAUGGUUCAAAAGUGAAAGACGGUCUUGCUGUCCACUAUAGAUGGAUCCGCGCUGCAUUAGCUAGUUGGUAAGGUAACGGCCUACCAAGGCAACGAUGCAUAGCCGACCUGAGAGGGUGAUCGGCCACGCUGGAACUUGGUCGCGGUCCAGGCUCCUACGGGAGGCAGCAGUAGGGACUCUUCCGCUAUGGGCGCAAGCCUGACGGAGCAACGCCGCUGGAGUGCUGCAGGUCUUCGGGUCGUAAGACUCUUUUAUUAGGGAAGAACAUAUGUGUAAGUAACUGUGCACAUCUUGACGGUACCUAAUCAGAAAGCCACGGCUAACUACGUG